rnacentral:rRNA from 1 species
AGUGAACGCUGGCGGUAUGCUUAACACAUGCAAGUCGAACGGCAGCACAGUACGAUCUUGCUCUUCCGGGUGGCCAGUCGCGUACGUGUGAGGUAUAUAUCGUAAUCUACUUUUUCGUGUGGGUUCACGUAGGGAAACUUACGCUAAUACCGCAUACGACCUACGGUUGAAAGCGGUGGAUCUUUUGACCUUGUGCGGUUGAAUUAGCCGAUGUGGGUUUGGCUAGUAGGCUGGGUAAAGGCCCACCAGGUCGACGAUCCGUUGCUGGUGUGAGAGACUGGUCAGCGGCACUGGAAGUGAGACACGGUCCAGACUCCUACGGGAGGGAGCAGUCGGGAAUAUUGGGCAGUGGGGGCAAGCAUGGUCCAGCCAUACCGAGUGGGUGACAGAGGCCUUCGGGUUGUGAAGCCCUCUUGUUGGGAAAGAAAAGCAGCAGGUUGAUACGACGCGGUACUGACGGUACCCAAAGAAUAAGCACCGGCUAACUUCGUG